UUACAAAAAUUAUUAUAAUUUUAUAAUGAAAAUAUAAUGUUUUUUUUAAACUAUGUAAAUAGAAA
rnacentral:tRNA from 1 species